rnacentral:lncRNA from 1 species
CCGGUCACAUGCUUUCUUUGUGAUGACCAUCGUGAUGGGUUCCGUAGAGGUGGGAGCAGCAGCUAAAGUCAAGAGCAUUUGUGAGUAUGACUCUAGCAGCUGGACACACAGAGAAAUGUGCAUCCCAGCUAUAACUAAAUCAAGAAAGGCCUGGCUGUGGAAUUCACAGGGGUCCUUACUGGAUUCACAGGCUUUGAUAUACCUUGAAGAAGUGACACUUUUUUCCCCCCUUGGCUCUCAGCCUUUCUUCCAGGCUAAUUCAUAUUUACUUAGAUGGCUCUAGAUAUUCUCUCACUAACCUGAACCUUUGGCAUCAACACAGGCUUAAAGGACAUACUUAGGGUCUCUAGUGUCAAUUGAAUGGCAGCAUCCUGACUUUGGUCUUCAAAGCAAAGAUGACACUGAAGUCUGCCCCUUCCAAACAAGGGCUACCCUGCCUGCUUCCAGAAGCAAAGCACGCCUUACCAUCUGCUUAGGACUUCACAGUUCAUAAAGUUCUUUCCAUCCCGUCUGCUUUCUUUUUAUUGCACAAGUGUUUACUUUUUAUUGCUCAGUAUUUACUGAGAUACCGCAGGAUGCCACUGUGCAGGGCGCCUGCGGUCCUUGAGGAAGAGCUGUUGUUCCCAUGCCUAGGCAAUUCAGAAGGCCAUGGCUGGAAUCUGGGGGCAAUUGCAUAGCCUGAAAUCAGGCUGCUAGCUGUAGUGGCUUUCCCAAGAGAACACGGGGCUUCUGUUUCUGGACCUGUCUGAUGAGGACACCCUUUCCUGUCUCCUGCCUUCUUCUCCAGCAGGGUUCCCCCUCCUUUCCUAUUCCCCCACGUCUUCUCAUCCCCUUCCCGUCUCCACUUACCCCCUCCUACCAGCUCAUUUCUUCUGAAGAUGAGCCGGAUUCUUUCUACAGUACUUUUGUGGGAUGUGAAUCUGACUAUGCAGAGCUGGGCCUGGGAUUUGUGUAACUUCCCUUGAGAGCAUAGCCUUAGCUCUUAUUCUGUUAUUCAUUAUUUGUAAUGAAUGCAGGAUGCUCCAGUGCCCUCCUUGUCCUCAACUCUUCUGUGUCAAGUCAGGUGCUAUAGCAGGUUGAGGUUCUAGCUAUAUAUAAGCUACUAUCUCUAUCAUUAAAAUAUUUCAGGUUGUUGGUGGCACAUGCCUUUAAUCUCAGCAUUUAGGAGGCAGAGGAAAAAGGAUCUCUUGAGUUUGAGACUAGCCUGGCUGGUCUACAGAGUGAGUUUCAGGACAGCUACAGCCACACAGAAAAACCUUGUCUUGGGGGUUGGGGUGGGGAAUCUAGAUAUAUUAGUCAGGAUUGUCUUGAACGAUAGAGCCAAUGUGCAAUGAAAGAUAGACAUGUAUCUCAAUAUCUGUGUCUAUAUGGAGAAGGAUUUAUUUUUCAUAAGGCAUUGACAGAGAUUAUCAUGGAGCUUGUGAAGUUCUGAUGGUCUGCUGUGUAUACCUGGAAACUAGAGAAGCUGGCUGUGUGCAUAGACAGAAUUAUGAAAGAGUGUCUCAGCGCAAGUGCCCAGGCAGAGAAAGAAUGAACUUGCUUCUCCUGCUUCCUUAUUCAGCUUUCUAGGCAUCCUUGAGUUCUGAUCCUCAGUGGGCUGGAUGAUGUUCACCCAUACUGAUGUAAGCUACUCACCACACUCACUCACUUUCCCUCCCUUCUCUGGAAACACCAUCAUCAAUCCUCCUUAGAAAUGUCCUUAACUGGUUCCCUUUGUAGCUCUUGGCCCAGCCAAAUUGACACACUGAGUAGACACAAUGUAUCUAACCAUCAAUUGAGACACUGGGGAGACACAAUGUAUUCAAUUGUCUGAAUCAGCUGGCUGACAUCCACCUCAGGCCACAAGCUGAACGCACUUAGACUGCUGAGGGCACAAAAGCACUCCUUUCCAAUCCAAGUUUUGCAACAAGGUAGACCAAAUCGAGUCAUCAUAAGUUAUUGUCCUUAUCUGGCUAUGCCCCUGCUUUGAUGUUUACCCAAUACAGAACCCCCACUGAUUGAUGAUAUUUGCUUCCUCAUCACUACAACUUGGCCUGUAAUGAGCACUGCUGUUUUUACAGCAUCAGGCUGCUAGGACUAUGUAUAGAGAGAGAGCUUUGGCUUUGCUCUGGUCUUAUACCUUGUGACCCAUUGAACACCUCACUUUCAAGACCUGAUGGGGAUUCAUCUAGGACUCUGGUCCUUCCUUCAGAUGUGUGUAUGUUGUAUCAGUCCCUCAGUCCCUUCUCCUGAAUCCUGCUAGGAGACCUCACAGCACAGUAUUCUAUCUGCUAAAGGAGUUGCUUUCCUUCAAUGAUGCUGUAGUGAUGCUGCUGGAGGAGUAGCUGGUUCUAGUAAUGUUGGUGUUGAGGAAGAUAAUAAUAAUACUGGGGACAUUGCUUUUGAAUUAGGGGACUAGCUCAAGUAUAUUAUUUUUCAUAUCUCAUCUCAUCUCAUCUCAUCUCAUCUCAUCUCAUCUCAUCUCAUCUCAUCUCAUCUUCUUUCCUCUCCAUACUUAUGUUGCCUAUUCAGGAAUAUUUUGGCUAUUGUACCUGUGGAUAUUCAUUACAAAGGAGGCAGUGGCUCAAAUGAAGCCAAAGAGCCUGGCUCUGAAGGACUGAUGGCCAGGUGGCCAGACAUAGGUAUUCAAAAGAAGAUUUGAGGCUUCUGUUUACCUCUUCGCUGAUGGUGCCACUGCUGAAGUAGUACUUCUUUACCCUGGCAGCAUUGUCUCAGUGACAGCUGUGUCUUGUCCACGGGGCCUCUGUGUCCCAUGCUCUUCACAAGCUUCAUCUCCAUCCUCUCAGGCCCUGGGCUCCUCAGUUCUGCACCUACUACUUUGCUUCUUCCCAUUCCGAGGUGGUGUAUUUGCCUCAGUUGCUGCUCCUCCUAUCCCACCAUUCCCUUUCUUACUCUCUCUCAGGUUUAAUUCUUGUCUUGUCCUUUCUCACCAUUCUAAGAUAGCCCUGUGACGCUUCCCUUGAUGAGCCCUAAUGAGACUCUGUAGCACCAAUCUCUCCUUUCCUGUAGUCACACGAGCUGGAAUCCAGAUUCCACUUUGUCAUUUGGAGACUCAGAGUAUUGCCACACACACCCCUCAGCGCCACCCCCCCCCCCAUAACUCCCUGCAGCCCCCACUUUCUCCACGGCACCUACUCCCCCUUGCAGCUUGUGCCGGGAAGCCCUGUUUCCUAGCUGCAGCCUAUUAUGUUCCAGUCGACAGGCCGGGGGGGGGGGGUGUCACCGACAGCCCCCAGAGCCUGCUGCACAUGGUGUUAAGUAAGGCUUUGGGUUUUCCAUGACAUUGGUCGGUCCCCAGGGUGGGCAGGGUUCAUGUGUCUGCAGGAGUAUGUGAGGGCAUAGACUGGAAAUAGCCUUGUCAAAAUAGACCAAGGGCAAAUGCUGAGAGGGGAAAUGAGGCUGACCUGGGGCGGAGCAUAGGGCAGGUGCUUCUCCAGGGGCUUUCCUCUGUGAGGGGCCCUGUAGCUAAAGGCUGCCUGAAAUACUUCCUGUGACCCUCUAGACCUACAUGAGGCCCCCAUCAGACACAAGAGCUUCCUGUUCCCUCUUCACUUUCCAAUACUUACAGAGCAAGAAGGGUUUACUCAGUUCUUCUUUCUUUCUCUUGUCCCCUCAGCUCCUGUCUUAGUGCAUUUGGCCUGCUCUAAGGAAGUGGGACUCUAGGCUGUGUGGCUGUGGAACAACAGGGGUUGAUUUCUCCUGGUUCUGGAGGCUAGGCAUCCCCGACUGUGUGCCACCGACGUCAUUAGUGUGUGGCAAGGGCCUGCUUUUUGACUCAUGGUCCCCUGUCUUCCAGGUCUAACCUGGGGGAUGAGGUAAGGCUGCUUGCUGGCAUGUCUUUUCUAAGGAUGCUUAUUGUAGUUCCUGGGUUCUGUUCGCAUGACAUUUCUCAUCACCUUGGAGGUUAGGGAUUCAACAUAGGAAUUUUAUGAGGGCAUAAACAGCCCAUAAUAGCCUCCUUGAAAUAUCUCUUGAGUGCACUCUCCUUCCUCAUCAGGCAUGUCAACAAAAUUUCAUGUCACUGUAAAGCAGAAAUAAUUGUACUUUCUAUAGUUCAUAUUGUGACUUGGGCUUCUUCUUCAAUAUGCUCAAACUGAUGACCAGUUGCAUGCCAAACUCACUUUUGCCGGUGUGGUAAAGUUUGUCUCCAUGGCUUCUUACUUAGCUUCAGCCUUUCUGUAUUCCAUGAAGUGAGGAGAUUCAUUGGUGGUGUGUGUCAAUUAGUUUUUUUGCUGCUGUGAUAAAACACCAUGACAAACUUGUAGCCAUCAUCCAGAGAAGUCAGGGUAGGAACCUGGAGGUAGGAACUGAUGCAGAGGCCAUCGAGGAGUGCUGCUUACUCCUCCUGGAUCACACAGCCUGCUUUCUCAACAGUAGGUAGGACCAACAGCCUAGGUGGCACCACCCACAGUGAGCUGGGCCUUCCACAUCAAUCAUCAAUCAAGAAAAAUAGCACAAAACCCUUUCCCGAAGGCCAAUCUGCUGGAGGCAUUUUCUCAGUUGAGAUUCCCUCUUCCCAAAUGACUGCAUAAAACUUGUGUCAUGUUGACAUGAAACUAGCCAGCACAGGGUGUCUGUUAGUUUUUCGGGGCUACUAAACAAUCUGAAACACGCUAGAUUGCUCAAAUCCUCUGGGAUGCAUUCCGGUAGCUGUGGAGGCAGCAAAGCUGAUAUGGUGAUGCCCCUACAAUCCAGGGGAUCCAUGGGAAGAGCCUGCCCUUUUUCCAUGGGCUUUUAAUGACUACUGGACGCUCUAGGCAUUUCUCAGCUUGCAGGACGCUUCUCUAGCUGUUCUCCCAUGGCUUACUUAUAGGCUUAUAUAUUUAUAUAUAGGCUCCCAUGGCCUAUGCCUAUAACUUUCUUCUUAUAUGGAUCAGCUUCCAUGUACGUAUGUAUCUCAAAUACUAUACUGUGAUAGUGUCUGUAGAACCCAGGUCCAAGUCACAUCUUAUUUGCAAGUACUGCAGGAUACAAUAGGGUAUGAGAAUGAAAUGUUAACUCGGGAUGAGAUACACAGGUCAUCCCAGCUCUUGGGAAGCAGGAGAGGGAUGAUCAGAGGUUCAGGACUACCUUCAAUUACAUUGUGAGUUUAAGGCUAGCCUGGGCUGCCAGAGACUUUGCCUCAACAACUCUACCUUUACGAGAGAAAAGAAAAAACAAGCUCUAUGGCUUCUCUCUCUCUCUAAGUAAAGUAUCUUUGGUUUUAUAUUUGCAAUGAUGUGGACAAUCAUAUUGUCUUAGUGUUCUAUGAAGAGAUGUCAUGAACAAGGUAUUCUUAAGUUUCAGACGUUAGCCCAUGAUUAUGGUGACACCAAAAACAACAACAACAACAACAAAAACGGACAAGGUUCUGGAGAAGGAACUGAGAGUCUUAUAUUCUGAUCUGCACGCAGCAGAAGAGGGAGAUACUGGGUCUGUCUUGGGCUUUUGAAACCUCAAAGCCCACCUCCAAUGAAACACCCCUACAAUAAGACCACAUCUGCUAAUCUAAAUCCCCAAGUAGUGGUAUUCCCUGAGGACUAAGCAUUUGAAUAUGAGCCUACAGGGGCCAUUUUCAUUCAAAGAAGCAUGCAUAUGUAUAAAGAAAAGCAAAUACCUGCAUAGAUUUGGCACCUGUCAGAGAAGAGGUAAAUUCAAAGCAGAAAAAGCAACCUAGGCUCUGGUCUGGUUUAUGGAGACACUCUGUUUUGGCCUCCGCUCAUUGCAAUGACAAAUUAUUAUCCUUGGCUUCAGGGUAAAAUUUUCUCAGAGUUACGGAUACCGAGAAGUUCAAGGACAAAGUAUUAACAGUUCAUUUUCUGGUGAUGGUGUCUGCUUCGGUCAUGGAUGUCUGUCUUCUUUUGUCAUCACAGUGGGGUCAAGGGUUCAGUGUGAGAGCAUCUAAUGUUUCUCAUUCUCCUUUAACAAAGAAAUAAAUAUUUAUGUUCCAUGUGUGCAUGUGUGUCAGGGUGUAUGGGAGCAUAUAUGGGGGUCAGAACACAACUUGUAGGACUUGGAUUUUUCCAACUACCAUGUAGAUUCCUGGAAACUCAGGUCUUCAGGCUAGAUAGACCACAAGCUCCAUUUCCCAGAAAACCGUCUCACCAGCCCCAUCCAAUGUCUCUUCUUAUGGGAAACUUAUGAGUUCAGAUCUCUGCCAAUGCAUGAGGUAUUAUGUGUUCUUCCUAACUUCUAUCAAUACCUCUUCUCCAAUAUAGUCUCAUGGAAAUGGUGGACCAGAGCUGAUAGGAUGCGCAAGCACACGCACGCACGUGUGAGCACACACACACACACACACACACACACACACACACCCUCACUUAUUAGAAUGACUUAUAGGUUGUGGUCCUGUCUUAUGACAGAAAGUCCAAGAACCCAAUAGUUAGGUUACUUAGAUACUCUCACACUGCCCUCAUGCUCACUGGCAAGUUCAUCCGUCCUGGAGCUGAGGCAUCCUUCACUGAUAUUAAAGCCUACCUCUUCAGGAUUCCAACAUACAUUGAAUAGUUCAGUAGACCAGCUUGAUCCCUUAGUUGGUCUUCGGUUGUAAUCCUGAAGAAGUUAA